rnacentral:lncRNA from 1 species
AGGAGUGGAGCAGAAGAUAAAAAAUGACUCCAUCCCCGCUGAGGUUAUCGUCCUCACAGCUCCCCAUCCCUAACCAGCGAAAACCAAAGAAGCAGCAGCUGAGUAAAAAUGAUCUGAGCUCAAAGUUAGACAAAAACGGGAAAUUCAUUUUGUUCAUGAAAGUCAGCCGAAAUUCCACCAUUUUUGGACCUUGAACGCCUUUGAGAACAACGAGUAGUAGCAUCCACACCCUCUCGUCUCUGUUUAUUUUCUUUGCUUGAACAAAUUUUCUGGUUUCGAAAAGAAAUUUCAUGGGGUAUCCACACCCUCUCGUCUCUAUUUAUUUUCUUUGCUUGAACAAAUUUUCUGGUUUCGAAAAGAAAUUUCAUGGGGUAUCCGUCGAAGCUUCUGAUUUGAGGUCCAUUCGAGGUCACCGAUGGGGUUCCGAUCCACGUCCAAUUUGUUCGGUCCGAAAUCCUUGUUGAUUCGAGUUAUGUUUGGGAUUUCUGUCGCUGCUCUUGGUUUAAUUGUUGAGUAGCAGCAAUAUUGAAGUUUACACCCAUAUCUUAAUGUGUUGUUUGUUUCUUUGUUUUUUUAGUCAUGUGAAUAUUCUAUGUUUUUAAACGUGAUGAUUGUAAAUCACAUGUGACAAGUCUGAGUGUACCUCUAUUGUCACAAAUUUCAUUAUCAUUAUCAUUUCCCAUGGUAUAGAGAGAAACGAUAUAUGCAAAAGAGAACA